rnacentral:rRNA from 1 species
UACAGAGGGUGCAAGCGUUGUUCGGAAUUAUUGGGCGUAAAGGGUGCGUAGGCGGUGCGGUAAGUCUGUAGUGAAAUCUCUGGGCUCAACUCAGAGUCUGCUAUAGAAACUGCCGUGCUAGAGUGUGGGAGAGGUGAGUGGAAUUCCCGGUGUAGCGGUGAAAUGCGUAGAGAUCGGGAGGAACACCGGUGGCGAAGGCGGGUCUCUGGGCAAUUCCUGACGCUGAGGCGCGAAAGCGUGGGGAGCAAACGGG